GGGGUUUGGGAACAUGAUGGGCUAUAAACAGGACCAACCUGGGCAAGGUGAAUGAAAGGUCUCCAUUAUCCUCUUCAGCUGUGACCAGCUGCCAAUUGGAAACAGCUGCUGUACAAGCCGGGCAGACUGGGGCAGUAGGCAGGCUUUGAGAGAAAAAUCACUAAGUGGGAAAUGGAGGAAGCAGUGAGGGCUAGACAGGAAUGGUCUGUAGCUGCUUUACACAAGGUCCUUGAGCUGUACCCAUGUGCCCUUAUCCUUGUGGAAGGGAAAGCAAUGGCCCUGGAGGCAGAAGGACUGACGACUAGCAAAGCUGGAUGCACAAGCCCCUGGAUUGGAGGUGGGGAUGUGAACUUUUUACUACCUGAGAGGUUUCUGGGGUGAUUGUUACUCCAGUCCUGGCACACGGAGGUGUCCUGGAUCCUGGUAGAGCGCUUUGUUCAGGGGUGCUACAGGCUGGAGUUGAGUGAUGUGAAUAGGAAGCUCUUCUGCACGGCGUAGUCUCCAUUGCCCCUAUUCUAGGGGGAGAAAAAGCCACCUUUGAAGCCCAGGACAACACAGACAGUGCCUGAAGCCAUGACUUGCUGUGCCUCUGUCAGGACAUGCAGUCCAGGGAGGAAGGAGCUGGAUAUACUUCGUUACUCAUCAACUCAAAAUCUGAGUGGGAUGCAGAGAGGCUUGAGGAGACCAAGUCUCCUUCCCUGAGCAGCAUACCAGUCACACACCUGUGAGAAGUGGGGCAUUGCAGCCCUAGGACACGAAUCUGCUGCAAUGGGCAAGGACUGAAGGCCCUUAGGCUUGCUCCUGGCUUAUUUUUGGCUAGGACUGGCACCUGCCCUUUUCCAGGAGUUGCUUAGAAAUUGCAGCCCAGAGAAAUGGCGUGGAGCAAGCACUGGCCGUGGCUGGUGACAAACCGAGUGCACCGAGGGAGACGGCAAUGCAAAGGAAUAAUGAGGUCCUCGGUUCUCAUUUGAGACGAGAAGGAAAGCCCUGCCAGUGCCAGUCUGACUGUACUGCUGCCCUGGUCCUGGGAUACAUCCUGGUCUUGGUUCGAUGAGCACAAGAAUGAGAAGUCGCGGCUCGUGACCUGGCCAGCUUGCAAAAAAAUGGGGCGAUACCACCCUUUUUCUGCUGUCCGAGCAACAAGGGAAAGUGGUAUGUAAUUGGUUGAAAGCAGCAAAUUGUUUAAAUAAAGCCACAGUUCAUUUUG